AUGCGAAAUAAAUAAAAGACAUAAAUAAGAUGCAAGAAAGUCAAGUCUUUUAUUGCAUGAUAAGAAAAAAAUAUAAAAAAUGGAGAAAUAAAAACACUGUCAUUACAAGUAUUCUAGCGAUUUCCUGAGACAUAGAGAACUAACCGGCCAUGGGAAGAUUCUUCAUUGCAAUCUGCAUCUUGAACUCUGAAGAUUCUUUGCCACAGACUUGGAGAAGAUCUUCAGCAGUAGGAGUAGGAGAUUUGGUGGAGAAUAGGUUGAGGAAAGUAGAUUUUAAAAAGAAAAGGAAGGAAUAGGUUACUGAAAUUUUUGGUGGAAGAGAGAAAGAGGGGAGAUAGAGGCAUGGAGAUGAUCCCCACAAGGGGGCUGAUGAGAUGUUUAGGGCCAGAUGGAGAUGGAUG
rnacentral:lncRNA from 1 species